UCAAACUUGGUCAUUUAGAGGAAGUAAAAGUCGUAACAAGGUUUCCGUAGGUGAACCUGCGGAAGGAUCAUUAAAGAAAUGCGGCGGAGGGGCCCCAAAGGCCCCCGAGCCAACACGUUCUACCCUGUCUUUUCGAUACCUCUACCUCCUCCCCGGCCUCCGGGCCGGGAUGGCUACUUCAAAAAAACCUUGCAGUUUACAGUCAAUUCAGUACUUUGUAACAAAAUUACAACUUUCAACAAUGGAUCUCUUGGCUCUGGCAUCGAUGAAGAACGCAGC
rnacentral:misc_RNA from 1 species